UACAGAGGUCCCGAGCGUUGUUCGGAUUCACUGGGCGUAAAGGGUGCGUAGGUGGCUUGAAAAGUUUGAUGUGAAAGCUCAGGGCUUAACCCUGAAAUGGCAUUGAAUACUGUCGAGCUGGAGGUUUGGAGGGGGGACUGGAAUUCUUGGUGUAGCAGUGAAAUGCGUAGAUAUCAAGAGGAACACCAGUGGCGAAGGCGAGUCCCUGGACGAUACCUGACACUGAGGCACGAAAGCCAAGGGAGCAAACAGG
rnacentral:rRNA from 1 species